rnacentral:rRNA from 1 species
ACAAUGGGCGAAAGCCUGAUCCAGCCAUGCCGCGUGUGUGAAGAAGGCCUUUUGGUUGUAAAGCACUUUAAGCGAGGAGGAGGCUACCGAGAUUAAUACUCUUGGAUAGUGGACGUUACUCGCAGAAUAAGCACCGGCUAACUCU